rnacentral:tRNA from 1 species
GGGGAUUUAGUUCAGUGGCUUAAACGCCUGCCUGAGAAGCAUGAGGUUGUGAGUUCAAUCCCCG